UUCCGGAGCGGGAGGGAGCGGAGCUCUUUCGUGCGGACCGGUUUUCCUGUCCGCAGCUGCCCGCAGGGUGGUGGCUUUCAAAACUUUGCCGGCCGGGAAGGCGCCUGGGUCCGGCUUCUUGGAGCGCUCCAUCCGGGCCUCGGGGCCUCCUUUUUCUGAAACAGACCCAGAAUGCCGAGUGCUUCUGGCCCCGCGUCUCAGUUUAAAGUUCACCGCUUCUUUGGAGCUAUUUUUCUGACCUGCGCUCAACAAUUCCCACCUAAACCAAACCACCACCACCAACAAAAGAGUCCGUCUUUGGGCCCCUCCUUUGGAUUCUCUAGCACGGAACUCUCACCCCUCCACACAGGGUCCAGACUAGGUGACAUUAAACAUUGGAGUGAAAGAAUCUUUAUUUGGCGGUGGUGGUGCAGUGAGGAAGACAAUCCUGGAGGAAUGACUGGUCCUCACCCAACCUGAGCCAAUGGCCACCGCAGUGCACAGCCCACGAUACUACGCUAUUUAAUCCACUCGACCCCUUCCCCCCCAGAUGUUCUUCCUUGUUGGGAUCACCCGCUUCAGUGGGGGAGAAGAUUCUACAUUACCCUUCUUUGACCCUUCAUCCAGCUCAAGAAAACAAUGGGAUCAACCGCCCUGCUUCUGGUGAAGCUAUUUGCUCCUAAUGCUGAGCAGAUGUACAUUGUUAAUCACUUGAAAGAGAGCCCAGCAGAAGAGAAGAGAAAUGUGCUGGAGGAAAGUGCCAGGAGAGCCCAUGAGGACAUAGAAGAUUUGGCAGACCUGAACCCCAGCAAGCUUGAAGCUGUCAUUAUGCCGGUGGUGUUGGGGUGGCCCAGAGCCACCCCGUGAGCAGUUCGGUAAAGGACUCUUCUGUUGCAUUUCACACAUCCUGGCAGCUGACACCUUCAUGCUGUGAAGUCACAGUGGGUCAGGAAACUCAUGUGGAUGCAGGGGGAGGAAAGGAUGAAAAGCUUACUGCCUGGUAAGUAGGUUCUAUAGCAUUUUCCCAUUUUCCUUCCUCCAAAUGAGUAUCAAUGUGACUGCUUUCCUGGUAGCUUAACGAAUUAUCUUCCACUUGGGGCCUGCCAUAUUUGGUAAUUGGCACUCAGGUGGGGGCCGGACACGGUGAGGGACAGUGCUUUAAGGUGAUGAGACCAGCUGGCUUUGAAUCAUAGGGAAAAUGUAUUCAUUCGAAAUACACUGGCUUACUCUAUAAGAAAAAAUUUUCAGUAUAUCAGUUCUCUUGUAUGAUAUCAUUCAGCUGAAUGGAUCAAAUUAUCCUUGCUUUAAUUAUUUCCUAUUGAUCCGAGUACAUACAGCCUUCAUUUUCUCUUACUAAGGGAAUAUUUAAAUGAAGCCUCAUGUUGGAACAGAUUUCUUCCAUGCACAGUGCCUGUGGGCUUCUGUUCCAAACACUGCCGCAUUUGAGAGGCCAGUGCGAGCUGACCAUUUUAACUCUCUUCACAGUCAUGGUGUCGAUUGCCUGAGAAACAUUUUCUUCCUCCCAGGUAUCUUUUCUUCUGAUAGGUUCGAUGAUGCAGCUGGGGCCGCUGCCGAAUAGGAGCCUGGCUGCGCAAAGGGCUGCAGGGAGGGGGGUCCUGCCAGGAUGCUGCCAACAGAGCGGCCCAGAGGCGGCCCCUCCAUGGGAGCAGUGUGGGGAGGGCGGCAAGGCGGCGGGGGAGGCUUUCGAAGGGGUUUGAAAAGUGAUGCUUCAGUGAUAAUAUUUAGAAGAACAUGUUCAAGUAAAAACAGCUCCAACCAAAUGAGGGACACACUUUAUCACUUACUGAGAGGUACUUUCAGUGUGAUCCUGACUCAAAGAUUAAAUAAUUGUCACUGAAUUAUUCAGAAAUACAUGGUUUCUAGACAAGCAUAGUUUCACUUCUUUCAUUUUUCAAAGUCAGAAAUGACUCUCAAGCCGUGUUUCAAACAGACGGGCAUUGGGCUGUUCCAAAGGCUCUUUCCUGAACCUCCAGCUUGGCUCCUGUAAGGACACCAACUGUAACUGGGAUGGGUUGAAUUGUCCAUAAUAAGAAGGACAAUAGAAAGCAGGGGGAAUUUAAGUGAGAUGAUGACAUCUGGAUGUUGAUUUCUGCAUUUGCAACUCAACUAGAUGACUAAACUAAUCUUCAUGAUUUCUGUGAAGGUUUUCUGUUUGCUAUGACUCAGAUAAAGCCAUGACACUUUUUAACGUUACUGUGUGUCAUACAUUCUUUUGAUGUCCUCUGCAGCUGUCCGUGCCUGGGCACCCAGGCUUUAGCAGGAACCAGAGUAGCCUGUGGAACGCUCAUCUGUUUUGGAGUGUUUCACUUGCUAGGAACUAUCCCUAUACUUUUUUUUUUAAUUACAGAGUAGGGGAAGAGGGGAGGAAUAAAACAAUCUCACCGGGUGAUAAAAACCUGCAACAUCGCAGGUAGAUUUCAUAUGGAUGGGAAGAGACUACAGACACGGGCGCAUGCGCACAGGUGCAUCCUUCUGCCGGAAGGAGGAGCAGCAGAUCUUACUGUGACCUUGCCCUGCUCCCUUCAGUUCCCUGUGGCUUUGCUCUGUGCGGGGAAGUCCUGCAUUUCUCCAGUGCCAUGAAGCUUCUGUUGUCACAGGUUCUGUCUCGGCCCAGGAAGAACCGGAAGCUACGAAUUCUACCUCUGGAAGGUUCACAUUCCCACCAGGGGAGGAGUGAGGAAGCACAGCUGGCCCCGAAUAGGUACAGAGCACUUUCCUUGUCCUGUGUACUGAUUUGCUUGUCUCUCUACUCACAGCUUAUGGAUUAUAAGCUCAUGAUGGUAAGAGGCGUUUGUCUAUUUUGUUGACCUGCACCAGGAACAUCCUCUGGCAUAUGAAGCCCUUGAUAAAAGUUUGUUGAUAAUGAACGCCCACCAUUUACAAAGCGUCUCCAAAGAGGUUCCCCUACGUAAGGUAUUACAGGCCUAAAGGUGGGGUCAUAGGAGAUUCAUCUGACGGGGAUAUCUGUUUUAGAUAAAGGCUUCCGAGCAAAGUUGUUAUAAAAUACAACAUAUAAAAAUUCCCUUUAAAGUCACAUAUUCUUGGGGCGUUUGGGUGGCUCAGUUGUUAAGC